GGGGGCGAACCGGUUUCGACGGGGAGCGUGAGCUGCCACCUGCCAUUCGCGGUUGAUCGAAGGGCCGCGCAAAAAAUCGAUCAACAAUUAACUGCCAACGAAAAUCUGGCAAUCGCAGCCUAAUCGCGCUGUGACGGUUCUCCGGCUGAUUCUGCCGGUAAGCUCCGGAAGAACCGACGACAAAACCGGCUGGACUUAUACUUGGUCACUAGGGUAAAUAAGUCGAGAUCAACUAGCUGAAUCGGAUGAGUAGAGACCCGCCUGUGGGUUACGAAAAUCUUAAACAAAUAAACGCAGGAUAUAAUGGUAGACGGUGUCUGUGAGCCUUUUCGGACGCGGGUUCGAUUCCCGCCGCCUCCAA
rnacentral:tmRNA from 1 species